UUUUUUUUUUUUUUUUUUUUUAAACCUUCCCAAGUUUCAAGUCACUGGAAACAACUUUGGUAAUAAAACGACUAUGGAAAUCUGUAAUAGAUGGAUUUAGGGCUUUUCACACUGAUAUGGCUGUUUCCACAAUAAGAGGAUAUCCUUUGGCUCCUUAUAUCCUCAUCUUCCUCCAGAUACCUGGUUUCAAUUUCACGGAAUGUAAUUCUCCCUGACCUCAAAGAGAACUUUGUCCUUGAACUAGCUCCACAGAGCAAAGCUCAAAUCUUGGCCUAUAGUAUUCAUCUUAGUUUUUGUACCUGAUUAAGCUGUGUUUUCUAUUUUCCUUGUCCUCUGAGUAUGCGGCACACUAGUCUGGAAGUUCUCUUGUCCAGGAAACAGACGAGUUUCCUUUCAAAACUUGUGACCAAGAAAAAGACACUUAGACAUCAAAUUGUUUUACUUUCAUUUUCCUGGGAAAAAAAAGGAAAUACUACAUUUCCCAGAUUCCUCUGCAGGCACAUGGUGCUUUGGGAUUGAUUUCUGGCCAACAGAAUGUGAUCAGAAGUCACAAGUGUCAUUUCCAGGCUGAGGUAAUUAAGAGUGGGUAUGCUUUCCCCACACAUCCUCUUUCCUUUCCUCAUCAAACUUGGAAGUCAGGUUCUCCAUGGCACAGCUACAAGAAGGGGUCAGCCUAGGUCCUGAGUCACCAAUUGGAGGAAAGAUGCCACCUCACCCACAUCAGGAUCUUAAGUAAGUAGACUAGUAUUGGGUUAUUCCACUGUUAUUCAGAGAUUGUCUGAGGCUGCGGUUAAUAUUAAUUUCCAUGACUAAUAAAUAACCUCUAGAAUGCUGAAAUUUCCUAAAAGAAGUCUGAGGCUUACAUAAUAAAUGCACCAUAAAUGGACAGAGAUGAAUAUGCAUCCAACUGAGCUCAAGGAAACCUAACCGGCCCCAAGGAGAACAGAUUCCAGACUUUAUAUGUGGGUACAUGGGGACUUCUUGCAGGUACAAAGGGGCAAAAGAGGAAAAGUGCACAGGAUGUACCAUUCCACACCCUUGGACCUGCCAAUCAGGGAGAGGACCCUUAGAAGGAAGAGCCAGAAUGCACUAACUCACGAAAAAGGGAUUUUCACUGCUCUGUGGGGUUGAGGCUGGGAAAGGAAGAAGGAGAAUCCAGAGCAACAGGAAAAGGUAAGUAAUCUGGACUACUACAGCUCAAUUCAAUACAGGUAAAAAGGCGACACUUCAGCAGGGCCUCCAACAUGCAAGAUCCAAGUAUGUACUUAGGCCUGGUAAUGAGAAGUUGGGAUGACCAUGGAGCGCAUAUCAGUAACUUGGGGGGCACUGAGCAAUAGCCCAAGAAGCGCCAGAAGCACCAGUCUCCCAAGGUGGAAGAGCAGGAAUGUUGAGUCCCUGGGAGGGUCACAGCAUGAAGGACUACUUGGAGGAGCUUCAGUCUAAGAUAAGCAUUGAGGGCUGAGGAUGGGGCAGGGUUGCAGUCCCAAUGAUCCAAAUGAUGGAAGAAGCACAGAAAUUGUGAGAAUUUCCUGUAUCCUUCUCCCACCAGGACUGUUCCAGAAUACUGUUUACCAGUUCUGCCUAUAACCAUAUUCUGGAAUCCAUUAAAGCCAGGAGAAGAAUCCAGAGGCACAUGUUUUAACAGAAUGUGGCUGUCUUCUCACUCCUCCUUUCCAUCUCCCUUUCCCUGGGAGAGCUUCAGGGAGUUGGCAACAUGGCCAAGAAAAUCAUGCCACAGGAAUAGGCAGGCUUCAUUGAAUCCCUCUUCAUGGGACGGGUGGACCCCACUGCUGGUUGGGUACCACAUUGCUUCAUAUCCACUGUCUACACUUAACAGGAGGAGAAAUUCUUCCUCAUAUGCCUCUCUCUUCUGUCAUCAUAGCCUGUUUUCCUUCUGCCACAUUCUGUGCAUCUGCUAAGGAAGGGGGUUGGAUAUAUGUUCUAGAUCAUUUGGCCUGUACUCCACAAACAAGCAACUCUAGCCUGACUGUGCCCCUUGGCUGACUUGGAGAUAAGACAGCAGGACUUGGCAGAAAAGGAGACCUAUGUGCACCAGCCCUCCCAAAGUUUAGCCUUCCCUCUUUUACACCAAAUAAGUGGAUGUUAUGAAUAAAGGAUAAGGUUUUAUUCACUCACAAAUAUUUAUUGAGUAUAGUGCUACAAAACACUGGAAUAGCUCUUUGGGAAAUACUGAUGUAGAAACUGUUCCUGCACUCAUGGGGCCAGCUUAUGGAAUGACAGAGGGCAUAAGAAAUAGUUUCCAAUAGGUUUAAUGUAAAGAGGGAUGUGUUAUGUGCCUAAAAGAUGGAGAAAUAAAAUGCCGUGAGGGCUAAUUCAGAGGAAGAUGAGAUUACUCUCAGAUGGAUUCAGGAUCAUAAAGUAUUGGUGCCAUGUGGCAUCACUGCGGUCACUUCAUCGGAAUACUUGAGGUGGAAGCUAAGGAUGUUAGAUGAUUACACAAGCUCAUGGAGCCAAUGAGAGCCGACAAAACCUUGAGCUGGUUUCUUCCGAAUCCAAGUCUUUGCUCACUCUGCUAUGCCAUGCUGCUUAUUAGUCAUGGGGCUUCCUGAAAUAAAUUACCUGCUGUCCUAGAUUCAGCCAAUCAACAUAAACAUCAUGAAGUUCACGAGCUUGGGAAGCUUACAAUCUAGUACAGCAGGUCAAAUAUGUACAUGUACGUUUCCAUGCUUUUCUAAGAUACAACUAACCUCAGAAAAUAUAUUGAUAUAUUAACCAAAUAUUUAUAUACUUAACCAAAAUAUUGAUAUACUUAACCCAUUAUCAAUCUGCAAGAUGUAGCAGGAGGAGAAGGGUUACAGUUUAGUUUUUUUUUUUUUUUAAGAUUUUAUUUAUUUAUUCAUGAGAGACUGAGAGAAGCAGAGACAAAGGCAGAGGGAGAGGCAGGCUUCCUGCGGGGAGCCAGAUGUGGGACUCGAUCCCAGGACCCCAGGAUCAUGACCUGAGCCAAAGGCAGAUGCUCAACCACUGAGCCACCCAGGUGCCCUACAGUUUAGUGGGUUUGAGCAGGUGAAAGAAGGAAGAGGGACAAAAAUGGAAGAUCUCAGAGGCCAUUUGCCUGGUGGUAGAUCCAGGACAAACAACCGGUCUCCAUAAGACUUACCACUGCUGGGUUCUCAACAAGUACUC
rnacentral:lncRNA from 1 species